rnacentral:rRNA from 1 species
GAUGAACGCUGGCGGCGUGCUUAACACAUGCAAGUCGAACGAAGCACUUUAUUUGAUUUCUUCGGAAUGAAAAUCUUGUGACUGAGUGGCGGACGGGUGAGUAACGCGUGGGUAACCUGCCUCAUACAGGGGGAUAACAGUUGGAAACGACUGCUAAUACCGCAUAAGCGCACGGUAUCGCAUGAUACAGUGUGAAAAACUCCGGUGGUAUGAGAUGGACCCGCGUCUGAUUAGCUAGUUGGUGAGGUAACGGCCCACCAAGGCGACGAUCAGUAGCCGACCUGAGAGGGUGACCGGCCACAUUGGGACUGAGACACGGGCCCAAAAUCCCUAACGGGGAGGCAGCAGUGGGGAAUAUUGCACAAUGGGCGAAAGCCUGAUGCAGCGACGCCGCGUGAACGAAGAAGUAUUUCGGU